AGAGUUUGAUCCUGGCUCAGAACGUACGCUGGCGGCACGCCUAACACAUGCAAGUCGAACGAAGUAGCAAUACUUAGUGGCAGACGGGUGAGUAACAUGUAGGUAUCUGCCCUUUGGCCUGGAAUAACACGAGGAAACUUGUGCUAAUACCGGAUAAGUCUUUACGGAGAAAGCUUUAUGCACCAUUGGAUGAGCCUGCACUUGAUUAGUUUGUUGGUGGGGUAAUGGCCUACCAAGACUUUGAUCAAUAGCUGAUUUGAGAGGAUGAUCAGCCACAUUGGGACUGAGACACGGCCCAAACUCCUACGGGAGGCAGCAGUGGGGAAUCUUGCACAAUGGAGGAAACUCUGAUGCAGCGAUGCCGCGUGAGUGAAGAAGGCCCUUGGGUUGUAAAGCUCUUUCGUCGGGGAAGAAAAUGACUGUACCCGAAUAAGAAGGUCCGGCUAACUUCGUGCCAGCAGCCGCGGUAAUACGAAGGGACCUAGCGUAGUUCGGAAUUACUGGGCUUAAAGAGUUCGUAGGUGGUUGAAAAAGUUGGUGGUGAAAUCCCAGAGCUUAACUCUGGAACUGCCAUCAAAACUUUUCAGCUAGAGUUUGAUAGAGGAAAGCAGAAUUUCUAGUGUAGAGGUGAAAUUCGUAGAUAUUAGAAAGAAUACCAAUUGCGAAGGCAGCUUUCUGGAUCAUUACUGACACUGAGGAACGAAAGCAUGGGUAGCGAAGAGGAUUAGAUACCCUCGUAGUCCAUGCCGUAAACGAUGUGUGUUAGACGUUGGAAAUUUAUUUUCAGUGUCGCAGCGAAAGCGAUAAACACACCGCCUGGGGAGUACGACCGCAAGGUUAAAACUCAAAUGAAUUGACGGGGACCCGCACAAGUAGUGGAGCAUGUGGUUUAAUUCGAAGAUACGCGCAGAACCUUACCAACACUUGACAUGUUCGUCGCGACUUUAAGAGAUUAAAGUUUUCGGUUCGGCCGGACGAAACACAGGUGCUGCAUGGCUGUCGUCAGCUCGUGUCGUGAGAUGUUGGGUUAAGUCCCGCAACGAGCGCAACCCUCACUUUUAGUUGCCAUCAUUUAGUUGGGCACUCUGAAAGAACUGCCAGUGAUAAGCUGGAGGAAGGUGGGGAUGACGUCAAGUCCUCAUGGCCCUUACGUGUUGGGCUACACACGUGCUACAAUGAUAUCUACAACAGGAAGCAAAACGGCGACGUUAAGCAAAUCCUUAAAAGAUAUCUCAGUUCGGAUUGCACUCUGCAACUCGAGUGCAUGAAGCUGGAAUUACUAGUAAUCGUGGAUCAGCGUGCCACGGUGAAUGCGUUCCCGGGUCUUGUACACACCGCCCGUCACACCAUGGGAGUUGGUUCUACCUUAAGGCAAGGCAUAAAACCCUUGACCACGGUAUAGUCAGCGACUGGGGUGAAGUCGUAACAAGGUAACCGUA
rnacentral:rRNA from 1 species